rnacentral:rRNA from 1 species
AGUGAACGCUGGCGGUAGGCCUAACACAUGCAAGUCGAACGGCAGCACAGAGGAGCUUGCUCCUUGGGUGGCGAGUGGCGGACGGGUGAGGAAUACAUCGGAAUCUACUCUGUCGUGGGGGAUAACGUAGGGAAACUUACGCUAAUACCGCAUACGACCUACGGGUGAAAGCAGGGGAUCUUCGGACCUUGCGCGAUUGAAUGAGCCGAUGUCGGAUUAGCUAGUUGGCGGGGUAAAGGCCCACCAAGGCGACGAUCCGUAGCUGGUCUGAGAGGAUGAUCAGCCACACUGGAACAGAGACACGGUCCAGACUCCUACGGGAGGCAGCAGUGGGGAAUAUUGGACCAUGGGCGCAAGCCUGAUCCAGCCAUACCGCGUGGGUGAAGAAGGCCUUCGGGUUGUAAAGCCCUUUUGUUGGGAAAGAAAUCCAGCUGGUUAAUACCCGGUUGGGAUGACGGUACCCAAAGAAUAAGCACCGGCUAACUUCGUGCCAGCAGCCGCAGUAA